CAAACUUGAUGGUGUUUAUGACGUCGAUAUUCGACGUCAUAAACACCAAACUUGAUGGUGUUUAUGACGUCGAAUAUCGACGUCAUAAACACCAAAC
rnacentral:miRNA from 1 species